rnacentral:misc_RNA from 1 species
UUUCCGUAGGUGAACCUGCGGAAGGAUCAUUAUUGAGAACCGGGGCGGCUCCGGCCGUCCCAACCCACACCUCGUGAACUUGUAACUGGGGAGGGCCUCUACUACUCGGGCGACCGGGGAACGGGCCCAACCCGCCCGUCGGCUUCGGCCGGCGGCAAUCUUUGCACCUGUCGUCAUGAAUGGCCUGAAAGCAAACUAAAGAGUACAACUCUCAACGAUGGAUCUCUUGGCUCUCGCAUCGAUGAAGAACGCAGC